CACGGGGGGAGCAAGCGUUGUUCGGAAUCACUGGGCGUAAAGGGCGUCUAGGCGGUUCGGUAAGUGGAAUGUGAAAUGCCCCCGGCUCACCCGGGGAGCUGCAUCCCAAACUGCCGAGCUCGAGUAUGGGAGAGGAUGAGGGAAUUCCUGGUGUAGCGGUGAAAUGCGUAGAUAUCAGGAGGAACACCGGUGGCGAAGGCGCUCAUCUGGCCCAAUACUGACGCUGAAGCGCGAAAGCUAGGGGAGCAAACGGG
rnacentral:rRNA from 1 species